rnacentral:rRNA from 1 species
CCUAACACAUGCAAGUCGAACGGUAACAUUUCUAGCUUGCUAGAAGAUGACGAGUGGCGGACGGGUGAGUAAUGCUUGGGAACUUGCCUUUGCGAGGGGGAUAACAGUUGGAAACGACUGCUAAUACCGCAUAAUGUCUACGGACCAAACGGGGCUUCGGCUCCGGCGCAAAGAGAGGCCCAAGUGAGAUUAGCUAGUUGGUAAGGUAACGGCUUACCAAGGCGACGAUCUCUAGCUGUUCUGAGAGGAAGAUCAGCCACACUGGGACUGAGACACGGCCCAGACUCCUACGGGAGGCAGCAGUGGGGAAUAUUGCACAAUGGGGGAAACCCUGAUGCAGCCAUGCCGCGUGUGUGAAGAAGGCCUUCGGGUUGUAAAGCACUUUCAGUUGUGAGGAAAAGUUAGUAGUUAAUACCUGCUAGCCGUGACGUUAACAACAGAAGAAGCACCGGCUAACUCCGUGCCAGCAGCCGCGGUAAUACGGAGGGUGCGAGCGUUAAUCGGA